rnacentral:rRNA from 1 species
UACGAAGGGGGCUAGCGUUGCUCGGAAUCACUGGGCGUAAAGCGCACGUAGGCGGAUCGUUAAGUCAGGGGUGAAAUCCCGGAGCUCAACUCCGGAACUGCCUUUGAUACUGGCAAGCUAGAGUCCGGAAGAGGUGAGUGGAACUCCUAGUGUAGAGGUGGAAUUCGUAGAUAUUAGGAAGAACACCAGUGGCGAAGGCGGCUCACUGGUCCGGUACUGACGCUGAGGUGCGAAAGCGUGGGGAGCAAACAGG